GGGUACGGUGGCUUAGUGGUUAGCACGUUUGCCUCACAGCACACCACAUCACACCUCCAGGGUCGGGGGUUCGAUUCCCACCGUGACCG